rnacentral:miRNA from 1 species
AGCUCGGUCUGUGUACAAGACG